GUAGGGGCGGGGUUUUUGCGUUCCCCUGGCCCUUGGCGGCGCUGCGUGAGUGCGUUGGGGGCUGCGCCUGCGGGCGCCCGCUCAGCGCGUGGUGAGACGCACAGCAGGUGUGCGGCGCGCCUGCUUCCGCCGCGUUCUUGCCCGCCCGGGACUGGACGCCGCCCGGCCUAGAGGCCUACGUGGCCUGCGCGCCGGUGACGGCGGCAGCAGCGUGGGGAACCGGGACGCGGAGCCGAAGAGGGGCACAGGCGGUGCCCUGCGCGGAGCCCCCUCGAGGGCGAGGUACGGAGAAGGCCCGACCGCGGCCGGGUUUUGGCAGCCACGAAGGGACCCAGAGUGGACUUCUCUCCUUCCCCUGAACUCUAUGAGGAACUGGAGCCUUGGUACCAGCAGAGGCCCCUUGCGCCCAUAUGCCUCCUCGGGGAGUCCAGACGCAUUCAGACAUUGGAAACUCUUAGGUUCCCAGCAGCUUUAUCAGAUAAAUUAGAAAGGCUGCCUCACUAACAGGUGGCGCAGUGGGUGGGAAUCCGCCUGCCAAUGCGUGGGACACGGGUUCGAUCCCUGCCCCAGGGGGAUACCACAUGCCGUGGAGCAACUGAGCCUGUGUGCCACAGCUGUUGAGGCUGUGCUCUAGAGCCCAUGAGCCACAACUAUUGAGCCCAUGUGCCGCAACUACUGAAGCCCAUGCACCUAGAGCCCGUGCUCUGCAACAAGAGGUCACUGCAAUGAGGGGCCCGCACACCGCAACGAAGAGUAGCCCCCGCUCGACGCAACUAGAGAAAGCCCGUGUGCAGCAACGAAGACCGAACACAGCCAACUAAAUAAAUAAAUAAAAUAAAUUUAUUAAAAAAAAAAAAAAGUUCAGUCUGAGACUCCUUAUAAAAGUCUCAGCAAAGCAAAAAGCCUGUAUGAUCAAGUAUAGUUACAUAAAUUAUCAGGCCAAGUUUUUUUUUUUUUUUUUUUUUUUUUGAGACCAGACUUCUUUUGCAAACAACUGAGUCUUAAUUCGGUUAUAUUUGGUAAAAAUGAGCGCCAUUUUAGAGAGAAAAAGUUUAUGUUUCAAUGAAUAUGAAGUGCCGGUUUUGCUGAUAGAGGUCUGUAUUUACUAAGAUUCACUCCCUGGAUAGUGCCUUGCUGUUACCCUAUAUUAAUGCAGAGUCUAACUGAGUUUGUAAAAGGACACUGCAAGUUUGUUUCGGAAGCUUAUCUCAGUAAUCUGUGUUUGAAUGAAAAUCAGAUGCCCCAGGACCUGCAGCCAGGGGACUACACAUACUGGAAAGGACAUACUUUAAAGGACAAUCUCCAACCUAGAUGGAAGGACCCUUAUCAGAGGAGAAACUGCACUCACACUAGGAUGAGAAGAAACCAACAUUAGAAGUAGAUAGCUAUCCCAAGAUCCUGCACCUGACUUGUAUGAGCAUUUGUAAUGUUUUCUUGACUUCUUGGAGCUUUGUAUAUGACUCAGAUGUUUUCCUAUGCUAAUUUUAAAACUCAGUCCAGUUGUUGAGUUUGUGGCCCAAUAGCUAUGACUAGUACUCUUGGGUUACCUUGGUGGAUUUCUCCCCUCCAAGGCUCUAAUUGGACGGCCCUCAGGAAAUUUAUUCUAGAGGAAAAAAUUAUAGUCCUUUUCAGGAGAUCCCCUCACCUAGACAAUAAUACCUGCUCUGACGCUGGCCCUAAAAAAAUGAAUUUUCCUCUCAAGUUACUCAAGCUCUAGCAGAGAAACAAGCAAUAUUUCAGCCAAGGAAUAAAACCUCCCACAAAGAUGGGUUGGUUUUAUGUGGUUACCAACAGGCUGUGGGCAUUUGUUUCAAUGCCCCCCUUUAUCUCGGGAACAAUUAAAUUAUACGAAGGAUAAGCAGCCUAGGAACACUAGGAAAUUGGGCUGGGGGCCUUAUGGACAGUGUCAGAAUGUAAUACCCCUGAAAGAUAAAGAUUGGUACAAAAUAGACUCAGACAACUUGAGGAUAUAUUGGGCUACACCUAAGGGAAGUUUUUGGCUUAAAUAUUUGCUUAUAACUCUAUUAAUGUUAUUAGCUAUAUUAUUUGUAUUUUGCCUGUUUUACAAAAUUAUUGUUUCUUGUGGUACCAAAAAUGUGACUGAGCAGCUGACAAAACUAAUGAUGACUAGGUGACUGGAAAGCAUUAAUCAAAGAUAUAGUUCUGUAUGCGAUCAAUGAUUGCAAUAGUGUAAUGCUAGAUACAGGAAGACACAACAAGAGGGAGGUUUUCCUGGACUGUAGCAGACUAGAAAUACAGGUGGUCCAGAGACCUCUGACCUUUGUAAAAAAUACCUAGCCCAGUAAUAGCACACUGAGUGGCCUAUCUGCAAAAUCUUCGCCAGAGCUAGGAAGGAGCCUUCCCAGCACCAUGGGACAAAAUGGUCACGAAGUGCCUCCCAAAGCGUGGUCGAGUUUAUGACCAUGAGGGGCCCUGUCAGCUACAGUUGGCACUCACCACUGGCACUUGCCAUCCACCUCUGUGAGGAUUAACUCAGGUGCUGCUGCAGCUGCUGACUUUCAGCACCCCCUGAAAGGAGUUCAGGCUGGAGGGCUGAAAUGAGGCCCUGUGUGCUCUGUGAAAAACUGGCAGAACAGGUCAUCAGAUAGUCAGAUGUUUCCAGGAGACAACUUUAUGAGCUCAAUUCUGGUACCUCCUCACAUCUAGAAAAACACUAAAAUCCUUCAUGGUGACGACUGCUCCUCGUGACUCACAGUAACCUGCAUGAGACCAGCAGAAACCUGCUGUAAACAAUAUGUGCUUGAUUGCAUGUUUUUCUCUUUCACCAAAACCACACAUAUACUGAUCUCCCCCCCUGCCUCUUUGGAGCAGUUUCUCAGAGCUAUCUGGGAUGCUGUCUUCCAGGCUGCAGGCCUCAUUUUGCCCCAGAUAAACUCAACUCACAACUCUCACGUUGUGAAUUUUUUUUAAGUCGACAGUUUCUAUAUUUAUAAGCAUGUUCUUCUGAAUUUUACUUUUGAAAUAUAAGGGGUUGUGGAACAUUGAAGUUACAGAAUAUUAAGACUGAGAAUAAGAUAAUUAUCUGUGAGGUUAUCAAUGUUUCAAACAAUCCUAGAGAACAGUUUUUAAACCUGUUCAGUAAUCUUGUCUGCAGGGUAUGUAUUCUAAAUUAAGAAGUUGUAAUUGAAUGCAUAUACAGAUACAGGUAAAGUUAUUUUCAAUAAAUUAAUUUUACAGAUGCUUUUCUCUACCACUAUCGCACAUACCAAGUUAUUUCUGAUUUAAUUGGUAAGCUCUUUAAUUGUACCACAUAAAUAUGUAUGCAUAAAAGAAACAAGGUACUAUUCCUGUUAGAGUCUUCCACGUCUGUUCUGUUAAUGCCGAGCAUUUCUGCUGCAUUUAUUCUAUAGCAUUUAUUCUGUUACAGUGUUGAAUUUUUAUUCCCCUGUUUGUGUGGAAGAGAAGUUAGGUUGCCAUUUGCUUUCUUCUUGGCAAGUGUCUACACUCAGCAAGCAUAGCAACUGAGGCACUAAAUUUCAGUCAGAAAUAGAACUCAGCUUCAUUUUGAAUGUUUCUUCUCAUUCAUGCUCAGGGAUCCAAGUAUCACAUGUUUAGCUGUACCCUCGUCUGGUGAUUUUAAAUUAUGGAAGGGAAUUUCCAGAACAGAUUUCCAGGUGACCUUGAACAGUGUUGGGGUGAGGGCUACCCUGCAAGCAGUCGGCAAGCUGCGUAUAAUUUAUAGUGAGCUCUCCGUGUCUGCAGUUCAACCAGCAGGAUGGGCUGCAGUAUUUACUAGUGAGAAAAUCAAGUAUAAGUGGACCCGUGCAGCUCAAGCCCUGACUCUGUUCAAGGGUCAGCUGUAAUUUCCAGGGUUACAGAGUGGCUGCUGACAGACAUUUUAAAAUUUCAGCACCACAGAAUAUAUUCACUGGAAAGUUAAUUGUAGUAGUUUUGAUUUUUAAAAUUUUAAAUAUUUGUUCAUUUAGCAAAUUUUUAAAAUUGGAGAAAAAUGGAAGCUGCUUUCUGCAUUGCUCAAGAAAAGAGUAAUUGUAGUUUUCUUUCUCUCAGCAGAGAUGAAAACAAAUACGGGUGUAGUCCAGGUUACAGACAUAUUAGAGAAAAUAAUCCAGUGCUGAAAUGCUGAUGCUGAUGAAAUUAAAGGAUUUUUUGUAUUCUUCUGACCCAGCGCUUCCUCAGUUCAAGCUCUGGAUGACUCCCUUCAGUUGAGUUUUUGCUUAAAAGAACAUCCUUUCCUUUUUAGAUAAAACAAUUUUCAUUAAGUUGAAAUUGCCAAGCAAUUAUCUCCCUUAGCUAAAGGAUUAACUUUUACUGAAAUAGUCUUUCACUUGUAAGGAUUUGUUCAAAACUAUGUGAAGGAGCUCAUGUCAGGAGGUAAAGAUCACGUAUGCUUACAGAUACGAUGGGCCGCAGAUGCACAUUUGAGGUCAAAUACCCAUCAGACCUAGUGAACACAGAGUACUGACGGAACCGGUUGAUCUUGUCUGUACCCGGCAGUAAACGAGUGUUGAUUAAACAAGACACCAGGCCAUCCCACCGUCUCCUUAACUGAGCAGGAGGCAGUGUCUCUGAUCCUGAGGCGAGUUUUCACAAGGGAAGCCCAAGCAUACACAACCGAGACACAUCCUGCUCAGAGCCUUGCUAGAUCAUGGCUUCCAUUAAGGUCACACUGACAUUUAAUAAUAAUUUGAGAUUAAAAUCCAGCUAGAGCACUGAGCUAUGGGAUGAGAAUUCAUUUUGUUUCUAAACUCUGUUACUGGUUGUGUUACCUCACUGGUAAAAUGAAGUCCAACUCUGUGACCUCUGAUGACCCUUUAAGUAACAGUAACAUUUUUUGGAGCCCUUACUUUGCUAAAGAUUUUACACAGCAUUUGAUCUUAUAACACCUUAUAACAGCCUGGGAGGUAUUAUUUUUUCUUUUUUAAGUUUUUAUUUUUUUUCUUUUUACAAUAAACUGCAUAUAUUUAGAGUGUACAGUUUGGUAUCCCAGUCUCCCAAUUCGUUCCCCCCACCAACCCUCCCCGCUUUCCCCACUUGGUGUGCACAUGUUUGUUCUCUACAUCUGUGUCUCUAUUUCUGCCUUGCAAUCGGGUUGAUUUGUACCAUUUUUCUAUAGUCCACAUAUAUGUGUUAAUAUACAAUAUUUGUUUUCCUCUUUCUGACUCACUUCACUCUGUAUGACAGUCUCUAGGUGCAUCCAUGUCUCUAAGAAUGUCCCAGUUUCAUUGCUUUUCAGAGCUGAGUAAGAUUCCAUUGUAUGUAUGUACCACAUCUUCUUUAUCCAUUCAUCUGUCAGUGGACAUUUAGGUUGCUUCCGUGUCCUGGCUAUUGUAAAUAGUGCUGCAGUGAACAUUGGCGUGCGUGUGUCUUUUUGAAUUAUGGUGUUCUCUGGGUAUAUGCCCAGUAGUGGGAUUGCUGGGUCAUAUGGCAGUUCUAUUUUUAGUUUUGCAAGGAACCUCCAUACUGUUUUCCAUAGUGGCUGUAUCAAUUUACAUUCCCACCAGCAGUGCAAGAGCAUUCCCUUUUCUCCACACCCUCUCCAGCAUUUACUGCUCGUAGAUUUUCUGAUGAUGCCCAUUCUAACCGGUGUGAGGUGAUACCUCAUUGUCGUUUUGAUUUGCAUUUCUCUAAUAAUUCGUGAUGUUGAGCAACUUUUCAUGUGCCUCUUGGCCAUCCGUAUGUCCUCUUUGGAGAAAUGCCUGUUUGGGUCUUCUGCCCAUUUUUUGAUUGGGUUGCUUGUUUUUUUGAUAUUGAGCUGGAUAAACUGUUCAUAUGUUUUGGAGAUUAAUCCUUUGUCUGUUGAUUCGUUUGCAAAUAUUUUCUCCCAUUCUGAGGGUUGUCUUUUCUUCUUGCUUAUAGUUUCCUUUGCUGUGCAGAAGCUUUGAAGUUUCAUUAGGUCCCACUUAUUAAUUUUUGUUUUUAUUUCCAUUAUUCUAGGGGGUGGAUCAAAAAAGAUCUUGCUGUUAUUUACGUCAAAGAGUGUUCUUCCUAUGUUUUCCUCUAGGAGUUUUAUAGUGUCUGGCCUUACAUUUAGGUCUUUUAUCCAUUUUGAGUUUAUUUUUGUAUAUGGUGUGUUAGGAAGUGUUCUAAUUUCAUUCUUUUACACGUAGCUGUCCAGUUUUCCCAGCACCACUUAUUGACGAGGCUGCCUUUUCUCCAUUGUGUAUCCUUGCCUCCUUUGUCAUAGAUUAGUUGACCGUAGUUUAUCUCUGGGCUUUCUGUCCUGUUCCACUGAUCUCUAUUUCUGUUUUUGUGCCAGUACCAUACUGUCUUGAUCACCGUGGCCUUGCAGUAUAGCCUGAAGUCAGGAAGCCUGAUUCCCCCAACUCCGUCUUUCCUUCUCAAGAUUGCUUUGGCUGUUCGGCGUCUUCUGUGUUCCCAUACAAAUCAUAAAAUUUCUUGUUCUAGUUCUGUGAAAAAUGCCAUUGGUAAUUUGAUCAGGAUUGCAUUGAAUCUGUAAAUUGCUUUUGGUAGUAUAGUCAUUUUCACAAUGUUGAUUCUUCCAAUCCAAGAACAUGGUAUGUCCCUCCAUCUGUUUGUGUCUUCUUUGAUUUCUUUCACGAGUGUCUUAUAGUUUUCUGAGUACAGGUCUUUUACCUCCUUGGUUAGGUUUAUUCCUAGGUAUGUAAUUCUUUUUGUUGCAGUGGUGAAUGGGAUUGUUUCCUUAACUUCUCUUUCUGAUCUUUCAUUGUUGGUGUAUAGAAAUGCAAGAGAUUUCUGUGUGUUAACUUUGUAUCCUGCAACUUUACCAAAUUCAUUGAUUAGCUCGAGUAGUUUUCUGGUGGCAUCUUUAGGAUUUUCUAUGUGUAGUAUCAUGUCAUCUGCAAAGAGUGACAGUUUGACUUCUUCUUUUCCAGUUUGGAUUCCUUUGAUUUCUUUUUCUUCCCUGAUGGCUGUGGCAAGGACUUCCAAAACUAUGUUGAGUAGUAGUGGUGAGAGUGGACAUCCUUGUCUUGUUCCUGAUCUUAGAGGGAAUGCUUCCAGUUGUUCACCAUUGAGAAUGAUGUUUGCUGUGGGUUUGUCGUAUAUGGCCUUUAUUAUGUUGAGGUAGGUUCCCUCUGUGCCCACCUUCUGGAGAGUUUUGAUCAUAAAUGGGUGUUGAAUUUUGUCCAAAGCUUUUUCUGCAUCUAUUGAGAUGAUCAUGUGGUUUUUAUCCUUCAAUUUGUAAAUAUGGUGCAUCACAUUUUUAAGAAAUAUUUUUGGCUGUAUUGGGUCUUUGUUGCUGCGCGCAGGCUUUUUCUAGUGGUGGUGAGUGGGGGCUACUCUUCAUUGUGU